GCCGACGUGGCGCAGCUGGUAGCGCAGGCGACUUGUAAUCGUCAGGUCGUGGGUUCGAGUCCCACCGUCGGCU
rnacentral:tRNA from 1 species